GCCGAGGUGGUGAAAUUGGCAGACACGCAGCGUUCAGGUCGCUGUGCCCUCAAAGGCGUGGGGGUUCAACUCCCCCCCUCGGCA
rnacentral:tRNA from 1 species